rnacentral:tRNA from 2 species
GGCUCGGUAGGCAACCGGCAGACCACCCUGCCUUAGAAGCAGGGAUGCUGUGGGUUCAACUCCCACCUGAGCCA